CUGAUAGAAACCUAUCUUGGCAUAUGCUAUUUUCAGCAGGCUACUUCUUAACUUACUUGUUCGGUAUGCUUAAAGAGUGUUUCCAAUAGCCUUUAACUAUCA
rnacentral:rRNA from 1 species